rnacentral:rRNA from 1 species
UGCGUAGGUGGUGAGGUAAGUCGGAUGUGAAAUCUCGGAGCUCAACUCCGAAACUGCAUUGGAAACUACCUCGCUCGAGGGUUGGAGGGGGGACUGGAAUACUUGGUGUAGCAGUGAAAUGCGUAGAUAUCAAGUGGAACACCAGUGGCGAAGGCGAGUCCCUGGACAACUCCUGACACUGAGGCACGAAAGCUGGGAGCAAACA